UGCCCCCUGCUCCAACAUGCUGGGGAUGCUCUCAGGCCUCAUCUCAGACACCCAGAUCUCCGCCUCCUCCACCCGCGAGUACCUGUGGAGCCCCAGCACUGCCCGCCUGGUCAGCAGCCGCUCUGGCUGGUUCCCCCGCAUCCCUCAGGCCCAGCCAGGCGAGGAGUGGCUUCAGGUAGACCUAGGAACACCCAAGAACGUGAAGGGUGUCAUCAUCCAGGGAGCUCGCGGAGGAGACAGCAUCACCGCAGUAGAAGCCAGGGCAUUUGUGCGCAAAUUCAAAGUCUCCUACAGCCUAAAUGGCAAGGACUGGGAAUACAUCCUGGACCCCAGGACGCAGCAGCCAAAGGUAGGCUGUUCCUGGAGGUCUCUGUAA